GUGCUCGCUUUGGCAGCACAUAGAUUAAAAAUGGAACAAUGAAGGGAAGAUCAGCAUGUUCCCUGCACAAAGGUGACACACAAAUUUUUGAAGCAUGCCAUAUUUUU
rnacentral:snRNA from 1 species